rnacentral:rRNA from 1 species
GUAAGGGAUAUUGCGCAAUGGGCGAAAGCCUGACGCAGCAACGCCGCGUGGAGGAUGAAGGCUUUCGGGUCGUAAACUCCUUUGGACGGGGACGAGGAAGGACGGUACCCGUCAAACAAGUCACGGCUAACUACGUGCCAGCAGCCGCGGUAAAACGUAGGUGGCAAGCGUUAUCCGGAUUUACUGGGCGUAAAGGGUGUGCAGGCGGACGGCCAAGUGGUGUAUGAAAGCGCUCGGCUCAACCGGGCAAGGGUAUGCCAGACUGGUCGACUAGAGACUGACAGAGGGUGGUGGAAUUCCGGGUGUAGUGGUGAAAUGCGUAGAGAUCCGGAGGAACCCCAGAGGCGAAGGCGGCCACCUGGGUCAGUUCUGACGCUCAGACACGACAGCAUGGGGAGCGAACGGGAUUAGAAACCCGGGUAGUCC